GACGAACGCUGGCGGCGUGCUUAACACAUGCAAGUCGAACGGAAAGGCACCCUUGUGUGGUACUCGAGUGGCGAACGGGUGAGUAACACGUGAGUAACCUCCCCUUGACUUUGGGAUAACUUCAGGAAACUGGGGCUAAUACCGGAUAGGAGCUCCUGCUGCAUGGUGGGGGUUGGAAGGUUUCGGCGGUUGGGGAUGGACUCGCGGCUUAUUUGCUUGUUGGUGGGGUAGUGGCUCACCAAGGAUUUGACGGGUAGCCGGCCUGAGAUGGUGACCGGCCACAUUGGGACUGAGAUACGGCGCAGACUCCUACGGGAGGCAGCAGUGGGGAAUAUGGCACAAUGGGCGGAAGCCGGAUGAAGAAACGCCGCGUGCGGGAUGACGGCCUUCGGGUUGUAAACCGCUGUCGCCUGUGACGAAGCGUGAGUGACGGUAAUGGGUAAAGAAGCACCGGCUAACUACGUG
rnacentral:rRNA from 1 species